rnacentral:lncRNA from 1 species
AUGAACGCAGAGAUACUUUACAUGCAAACACACACACACACACACACACACACACACACACACACACACACAAAUGCUGUUCCCAUUUCCCCCUGUCUUUCAUCUGACAAAGCGGGUAGUGACUGCGAGCUCAGAAUUGGCUGGCGGAGGUGUCUGCUGGUGUGUGGGCUCCAUUUCUGGGGCUUUAUCAAGCCCUGUCUCCGAUUUUCCCAUUUCAGACAAUCUUCCUUUGAAGACGUGGAUGACAUAGUAAAACCGAUUGCACUUGAGAGCCGAUUCCAUGACUAUUUUGCUGCAACAGCGCAUUCUGCAAAUUUCAGCUGCUUCACUAGCUUCUCCUGUUUGUUGCUGAACCGAUUAUCCUGUUCUGCACUUGUUCCGCGGAAGAAUCCCGAGUCCCAUCUUCUGCCUCGCUCGGACCUGAUAUUUGUUCUUUAUUCUCCUAAAGCGGACUCCUAAAACCUGAGAGGGGACAGCAUCUAGGAUCCCAGGCAGCCCCUCACCACCAGCCCAACCCUCAUACAGAAGACCCUGGGAAGACCUUGCACUUUCCAUCUGUGAAUGCUUCCAAAAAGCAUUUGACUAAUCCGAUCUAAUCAUCUGGGCUUUCUACUCAUCUAAUUUAAUUGGACCAGAUCACACUGGCCUGUUAUCUGCUUGAUCUGAUUACUCAACUAAAUUGAUUGAUUAAUUUGGUAAAUUAAUUCUUAAUGACACAUUAAAGUUUGUCAAUGCCUAAACAAAUUACUGUAUUUAGAAAAUUUUUUUUCAGGUUCUUUUUUUUUUUUUUAUACCCCCCAAAGACUUUAGGUUAAAGGGUCAGUCUCAGGACCAGCAGGGUACUUUGUGGUUGUCUGGUUCUUGUUUGCUCUCGAGGGUGAGGAGGAGUCAUCCACACACCACACUAACCUCUGCUGGUGAAGUGAAGACCAGCUCUGACUCACUCAUAAGACCACCACCCAACAGACAGUUAGUGGGGAAGGGGCAUUAGGGAGAUGAGCCCUGGGAUCCUGGAUUUCCUCUGCUUCAGUGAAGUUUUCAAACUUUUGUUUGGAGUCCACUCUUGGGCAGAGAUGCAUGUGAACUCCAUGCAUAUGGACAUCAGGUGCAACCUCUACACAAGCCUGCCCCAGCAUCGGAGCUGAAGCAUGUGUUUAUGUGUGUAUAUGCGUGCAUGCAUGGGUGCACGAGUGUGUGCAUGAGUUUGUGCCUGUGUGUGAGAGGAAAGGAAGGCUGGCUUCAACUACUGCUGGUGCCCAAUACCAGCAGGGUCACACAAUGGGUAGAGUCUGUACCCUUCAGUUCCCAGGGGGGCCUGCUAGGAUCCCAAAGGAUACCGUGCUUGGAAGGGGACAGCUGUGAGCUGUCACUGUCUGCCCUGGGAAGUUUAUCCCGCCGUCAGACCACCACUAUGUGACCUAGAGGUGACACAUGCAAAUCCCCUGACACGUGGCAUCAAGGAGGCAUUCCAUAAAUGCUAUUGAUGAGGGUGGGGGUGAGAAGGUUGAUAGUGAGGGCAUUAAGGAGGUGAUGUGAAGUGCUCACCAACCUGAUUUUUGAUCUGUUCUGCUCCCUCUUCUUUCACCGCACGUUUUAACACUGGCUUGUCCCGCUUCCAGCAAACCAUCGCCUUUCAAAGUAUUUAGGGUUUAAAAAUCUCUAGAACACCCAGAACCUUUCAGUUUGGGAAAAUCCAAACUGAAAUGUCAGCGAAAGCCUUUGAACCAGUCAGGAGCCUGGACUGUCUAAAGGAAAACCUUGGUGAGGGGCCUCUAGGGCUUUGUACAUAAAUGAAGAUUCAGGAGAGGAUGGCGUGUCCUUAGCAUGUCCGAUUUGGGCAGCUGGAUGCAGGCAUCCUGGGCCUGUGAUCCUGGCUACAGCCUGCAUGUCCCCUUGAUCCCAACCAACCACACUGAAUCCUCUCAAGCGAGCAUGAGAUUGGAUCUUGGACAUCUUCUUUCCCCUUGGCCCACUUCCAAUAGAAGUGGCUUAUCUGGAAUAAACCCGGGUAGUGCCUGUGUGAGAACAAAGCAGAAAUAGCUUUUGUGGUUUGAUGGCCACGGAUCAGAUUUCCACUUCCACCUAGAUCCCAAAGCACUAUUUGAGCCCCCCAACAAACUCAGAUAUGACCCUCGGGAGAAUGGGUGACACCAUGGUUUUUUGACUGCGAUUCUGCAACAGAGCAGAGUACAGGUUGGAGAUUAAAAGGAGGUUGAAUCGUAGAUGAGCAGGCCAGAGUAUGUAGCCCCUACUGGAGAAGAGUGUAGGCUCUGUUGAUGGGCAGUUGGAUUUUGUAUUCCAGCUCUGCCUUUACUACCUGUGUGUGGUUGGGCAAGCCGCUUGACCACCUGUGCCUUAAUUUUCUCAUCUGGAAAAUGGAUCUAAUAGUACCUGCCCAGUGGUUUUGUUCAGUCAAUACACUUUAAACAUUUGAUAAAUAUUAGCAACGAAGCAUUAUCAUCAAUAGCAUCAAACACCUGAAUUUGAGGUCCACACAUGCUCUUAGAUUUACCAGCUUCUUUUUUUUAAUCAAAGAUUUUAUUUAUUUGUGAGAGACACAGAUAGAGAGACAGAGACACAGGCAGAGGGAGAAGCAGACUCCUCGAGGGGAGCCUGACUGGGACUCAACCCCAGGACUCUAGGAUCAUGCCCUGAGCUGAAGGUAGACACUCAACUGCAAGUUACCAGCUUCUGAGCAAACAAACUUCAUUAAGUCCCUGGAUUUUAUCUGUCAUGGAUGCACACUGAAGGUGACACAAGGGUGAGCAGACACAGUCACUGAUUUUUUAAUGCCAAUCCCCAAAGUGUAGAACUGGCAUUUGGAAGAGGCCUCUGGAAACUUCUGAAAACAGGUGUUAGUCCUUCUCUGAACUUGCUUCACACAUAAUAUAUGGUUCCUUCCUCCUAAGGAUUACCCAGUUGUCUCUCAAUUUGACCAGGGGCCCAGGAAUCCAGGAGUGGUGAUUUCUACUCCCUUUGGAUCUGGAAUCUGUUAUACCCAGUGCAUGAAUUCACAUUUUCUUUCUUUCUUUUUUUUUUUUUAAAGAUUUUAUUUAUUUAUUUGACAGAGAGAAUGAGAGAGAGAGAGAGAGAGCACAAACAGGGGGAGCUGAAGGCAGAGGGAGAGGGAGAAGCAGACUCCCCUCAGAGCAGGGAGCCCAAUACAGGGCUCACUCUCAGGACUUUGGGAUCAUGAGCUGAGCCGAAGGCAGAUGCUUAACUGGCUGAGCCACCCAGGUGCCCUGAAUUCAUGUUUCAGUGAAAUGCUAGCUUGGUCAGGACUUAGGCCUCCCACUCCUUUUCAAUCCUAAUCUACCUGAGACAUAUUUGCCUGGCCUGUUCUUUUUUUUUUUUUUUUCUUUUUUUUUUGGCCUGUUCUUUAAAAUGAUAGACUGUCCACAGAAUUUCUACCUGACUGUUAUAUGUCCUUUGGGGCAAAUUGCUUCUGCCCUUCUGUGAACAUAGGCAGGCUUCUUAGGACAGAGCUCACAGAAUUAGAGGGAUGUGGGGGUCACAAUGCCUGGUCACUACGCUUAGGGUAUAUCCGUACAUUUUCAUAGAAGAUCUACAAAGCUCUGAAAUGAUGAGUUAUUAUUACAUUUCAUGGGAAAUCAGUACAGAAGGCAAAUGAUUGGUACAAAUCUAGGGGAAAUUAGUUAAACAGAAAUGUAACUUGUAUUCAGUAAUUAUAAUGACUAGUUUACUAAGCAUUUUCUAUGAGUUAUGUAUGUUCUAAGCCCUUUGCAAGUAUUAACCUAUUUUAUAGAUAAGGACACCGACGCCCAGAGAGACCAGGUAAAUUCACUCCAGAUCACACAGCCGUAAGAGAUGAAGGCCAGCCUCAGAUAUGACAAUCCAAGCCGUCAUAAGAGAAGAAUGAGAACAAACAAAUGUCUGUAUUAGUUAUUGCCGUAUAACAGAAAUCCUCCAAAACUUAGUGGCUGGAAAUGACAGACAUUCAUCAACCCCAGUUUCUUUGGGGCAGGACUCUAGGUGCGGCUUCGCUGGGCCCCCCAGGAGCUCCAGUGAAGCUGUAAGCUGGGGACCCCGGGGCCUAGAGCGUGUGUCCUUCCAGCUCCUGUCAGGGCUGCUGGCAGGCCUGGUUCCUCCCCAUCAGCCACACCCCCACUGUCCUCACUGCGUGGCCCUUACUGUUCCCAGCCACAAAGAGCAGUGGAGGCAGAGCACAGUCUUUGUAAUCCUCAUUCUGGAACGGACAUGCCUUUUGUAUUCCAGUCAUUAGCCGCAAAUCAACAAGUGCAGGGGGAGGCCACGCAGGGGCAGGAGGACCAGGAGGCAGAGCCGAUCCGCAGCUGCAAGAGCCUCUGGAAACUGGGCAAAUCACUCGGAGCAGAACUCAGCACCGGUGGACUUCAGAUCCAAAUUGUCAGGGAUAAUGGAUAAUGCUGGUUUUUUUUUUUUUUUCUUUUUCUUUUAAAGAAGCAGAGGUGCCUGGGUGGCUCAGUCAGUUAGGCCUCUGGCUUGGGCUCAGAUAGUAUCUCAGAGUCCUGGGAUCGAGCCCCACGUCCAGCUCCCUGCUCAGCGGGGAGUCUGCUUCUCCCUCUGCCCCCUCGCUCGCUCGCUCGCUUUCAGAUAAAUACAUAAAAUCUUUAAGAUAUAAGGAGAAUCAUUUUAACAUUUCUAUUUUUCUUAAAACACAGGAAAGGAAUGGCACCUUUCUGCAUUUCCUGAAAGGCACCCACCCACUACCUGGGAGAACUGGCCCCUGACUUUAGUGAUGAGCUUUUCUUUCUGGAAGAUGAGGAAGCAACCAAGGUCACGAUCGCCGCCCGUGUCACCUUCCCAUCUUCCUGGAGGGACGACCAUCCCUUCCGUUGGGUACCGCCUCGUGUCCCUGCCAUUUCGUUGUGUAGCAUUAAAACUAGG